rnacentral:rRNA from 1 species
AGUGAACGCUGGCGGUAGGCCUAACACAUGCAAGUCGAACGGCAGCACAGUAAGAGCUUGCUCUUACGGGUGGCGAGUGGCGGACGGGUGAGGAAUACAUCGGAAUCUACUUUUUCGUGGGGGAUAACGUAGGGAAACUUACGCUAAUACCGCAUACGACCUACGGGUGAAAGCAGGGGAUCUUCGGACCUUGCGCGAUUGAAUGAGCCGAUGUCGGAUUAGCUAGUUGGCGGGGUAAAGGCCCACCAAGGCGACGAUCCGUAGCUGGUCUGAGAGGAUGAUCAGCCACACUGGAACUGAGACACGGUCCAGACUCCUACGGGAGGCAGCAGUGGGGAAUAUUGGACAAUGGGCGCAAGCCUGCUCCAGCCAUACCGCGUGGGUGAAGAAGGCCUUCGGGUUGUAAAGCCCUUUUGUUGGGAGAGAAAAGCAGCAGGUUAAUACCCCGCUGUUCUGACGGUACCCAAAGAAUAAGCACCGGCUAACUUCGUG